rnacentral:tRNA from 1 species
GGCUGGGUGGCUCAGUCGGCUGGAGCAUCAUCCCAUACACCAAAAGGUUGUGGGUUCAAUCCCCAGUCCAGCCU